rnacentral:rRNA from 1 species
UACGGAGGGUGCAAGCGUUAUCCGGAUUCACUGGGUUUAAAGGGUGCGUAGGUGGGUAGGUAAGUCAGCGGUGAAAUCCCCGAGCUUAACUUGGGAACUGCCAUUGAUACUAUCUGUCUUGAAUACCUUGGAGGUGAGCGGAAUAUGUCAUGUAGCGGUGAAAUGCUCAGAUAUGACAUAGAACACCAAUUGCGAAGGCAGCUGGCUACACAAAUAUUGACACUGAGGCACGAAAGCGUGGGGAUCAAACAGG